GCCUGGGUGGCUCAGUCAGUUGAGCAACCGACUUCGGCUCAGGUCAUGGUCUCAAGGUUUGUGGGUUCAAGCCCCGCGUCAGGCU
rnacentral:tRNA from 1 species